rnacentral:rRNA from 1 species
GUGAGUAGUCAGAGUUUGAUCCUGGCGUCAGGACGAACGCUGGCGGCGUGCCUAACACAUGCAAGUCGAGCGGGGAACUGCGGAAUGCGACUUCGGUCAAAUGAAACAGUUUCUAGCGGCGGACGGGUGAGUAACGCGUGAGCAACCUGCCUUGUACUGGGGAAUAACGCAUCGAAAGAUGUGCUAAUACCGCAUAAGACCACAGAUCUGACAUGGAUCAGGGGUCAAAGGAGCAAUUCGGUAUAAGAUGGGCUCGCGUCUGAUUAGCUAGUUGGUGAGGUAACGGCCCACCAAGGCGACGAUCAGUAGCCGACCUGAGAGGGUGAUCGGCCACAUUGGAACUGAGAAACGGUCCAA